rnacentral:rRNA from 1 species
AUACGGAGGAUCCGAGCGUUAUACGGAUUUAUUGGGUUUAAAGGGUGCGCAGGCGGCCAUUUAAGUCAGCGGUUAAAUCGUGGGGCUCAACCCCAUUCUGCCGUUGAUACUGGGUGGCUUGAUUGCGGUCGAGGUUGGCGGAAUUCGUUGCGUAGCGGUGAAAUGCAUAGAUAUGACGAAGAACACCGAUUGCGUAGGCAGCUGACCAGACCGCAAAUGACGCUCAUGCACGAAAGUGCGGGGAUCGAACAGGAUUAGAUACCCUGGUAGUCCGCACAGUAAACGAUGAAUACUUGUUUUCGGCGAUAUAAUGUCGGAGGCAAAGCGAAAGCGAUAAGUAUUCCACCUGGGGAGUACGCCGGCAACGGUGAAACUCAAAUGAAUUGACGGGG